ensembl:lncRNA
UCCCCAUAGCACUGCCCCAUAACACUGCUCCAUAGCACUGCCCCACACUACAGCCCCAUAGCACAGCCCCACAGUGUUGCCCCAUAGUACAGCCCCACAGUGUAGCCCCAUAGUACAUCCCCAUAGCACUGCCCCAUGGUACUGCCCCAUAGAACUGCCCCAUGGCACUGCCCCACAGCACUGCCCCAUAGUACUGCCCCAUAGACUGCCCCACAGCACUGCCCCAUAGUACAGCCCCACAGCACUGCCCCACGGCGCUGCCCCACACUACAGCCCCACAGCGCUGCCCCAUAUUACAUCCCCACAGUGUAGCCCCAUAGUACAUCCCCAUAGCACUGCCCCACGGCGCUGCCCCACAUUACAGCCCCACGGCGCUGCCCCACAGCACUGCCCCAUAGUACUGCCCCAUAGACUGCCCCACAGCACUGCCCCAUAGUACAGCCCCACAGCACUGCCCCACGGCGCUGCCCCACACUACAGCCCCACAGCGCUGCCCCAUAUUACAUCCCCACAGUGUAGCCCCAUAGUACAUCCCCAUAGCACUGCCCCACGGCGCUGCCCCACAUUACAGCCCCACGGCGCUGCCCCACACACCCCAUCUGCAGUGCAGAGAUAAGGGGUGGGGCCCCGUGGGGCCGCCGCCAUCUGUGCGGAAGGCAGCGUCGAUGUGGGGCAGGGAAGCUAUGGGGCAGCCCCACUGUGCCCCACAGAACAGAGCUGUGCCCCAUAGCACAGAGCUGUGCCCCAUAGCACAAAGUGGGCACAGUGCCCCAUAGCACUGAGCUGUGCCCCAUAGCACAAAGUGGGCACAGUGCCCCGUAGCACAGAGCUGUGCCCCAUAGCACAAAGUGGGCACAGUGCCCCAUAGCACAAAGUGGGCACAGUGCCCCAUAGCACAAAGUGGGGCGGUGCCCCAUGGCACAGAGCUGUGCCCCAUAGCACUGAGCUGUGCCCCAUAGCACAAAGUGGGCACAGUGCCCCAUAGCACAGAGCUGUGCCCCAUAGCACAGAGCUGUGCCCCAUAGCACAAAGUGGGCACAGUGCCCCAUAGCACUGAGCUGUGCCCCAUAGCACAAAGUGGGCACAGUGCCCCAUAGCACAAAGUGGGGCGGUGCCCCAUGGCACAGAGCUGUGCCCCAUAGCACUGAGCUGUGCCCCAUAGCACAAAGUGGGCACAGUGCCCCAUAGCACAGAGCUGUGCCCCAUAGCACAAAGUGGGGCGGUGCCCCAUAGCACACAGUGGGCACAGUGACCCAUAGCACAGAGCUGUGCCCCAUAGCACAGAGUGGGCACAGUGCCCCAUAGCACAGAGCUGUGCCCCAUAGCACAAAGUGGGCACAGUGCCCCAUAGCACAGAGCUGUGCCCCAUAGCACACAGUGGGCACAGUGCCCCAUAGCACAGAGCAGUGCCCCGUAGCACAGAGCUGUGCCCCAUAGCACAGAGUGCGGCGGUGCCCCAUAGCACAAAGUGGGCACAGUGCCCCAUAGCACACAGCUGUGCCCCAUAGCACAGAGUGGGGCGGUGCCCCAUAGCACAGAGUGGGCACAGUGCCCCAUAGCACAGAGCUGUGCCCCAUAGCACAGAGUGGGGCGGCGUCCCAUAGCACAGAGCUGUGCCCCAUAGCACACAGUGGGCACAGUGCCCCAUAGCACUGAGCUGUGCCCCAUAGCACAGAGUGGGGCGGUGCCCCAUAGCACAGAGCUGUGCCCCAUAGCACAAAGUGGGCACAGUGCCCCAUAGCACAGAGCUGUGCCCCAUAGAAUAGAGCUGUGCCCCAUAGCACAGAUGGGCACAGUGCCCCAUAGCACACAGUGGGCACAGUGCCCCAUAGCACAGAGCUGUGCCCCAUAGCACAGAGUGGGGCGGUGCCCCAUAGCGGAGGGCCGUUCCCCCGCCCCCCCCCAUCGGAUUCCCCACAUCUGAGUGUGGCCCCGGCGGCGUUUCCUGUGGGGCAGUGAUUCAUCGCCCCCCCCCCCCCCCCCCCCCCAUCCCCGCCCCAUAACCGCGGCGCCGUGGAAAGAAUGUGUGGGGCGGAGGGGGGGGGGGGGGCGCGGGGGGGUCGUGGCAACGGCGGGCAAACAAACAGCGAUUGGGGGGGGGGAAAUGAGUCACUGCCAUCCGCAUACCGCAAUGGGGCCGCAGUGGGGACGGAGUGGCACCGAAAUGAAUGGGGCCGGAAUGGCACCGAAAUGGGGCCGGAAUGGGGCGGGAAUGGAGCCAAAAUGGCAUAGAAAUGGCAACAAAAUGGGGCCGAAAUGGGGCUGAAAUGGGACCAAAAUGGGGCUGAAAUGGGGCCGGAAUGGCAUCGAAAUGGGGCCGGAAUGGCAUCGAAAUGGGGCCGGAAUGGGGCUGAAAUGGGACCAAAAUGGGACCAAAAUGGGGCCGAAAUGGGGCCGGAAUGGGGCUGAAAUGGGGCUGAAAUGGGGCCGGAAUGGCAUCGAAAUGGGGCUGAAAGUGGACCAAAAUGGGGCUGAAAUGGGACUGAAAUGGGGCUGAAAUGGGGACGGAAUGGGUACAGAAUGGGGACGGAAUGGGGCUGAAAUGGGACCAAAAUGGGGCCGGAAUGGGGCUGAAAUGGGGAUGGAGUGGGGCUGAAAUGGGGAUGGAGUGGGGCCAAAAUGGGGCCGAAAUGGGACCAAAAUGGGGCCGGAAUGGGGCUGAAAUGGGACCAGAAUAGAACCAAAAUGGGGCUGGAAUGGGGCUGAAAUGGUAACACCAAAACGGCACCAAAAUGGCACUGAAAUGGCCCCAAAAUGGCCCCAAAAUGGCACUGAAAUGGCACUGAAAUAACACCAAAACUGCACCAAAAUGGCGCUGAGAGCUGCGCCAAAACAGAACCAAAAUGGCACCGAAACUGAGCCAGAAAAGUACCAAAAUAGCACCAAAAUGGCACCAAAAUGGCACCAAAAUAACACUGAACUGCCACUGAAAUAACACCAAAACUGCGCCAGAAAAGCACCAAAAGAGCACCAAAAUGGCACCAAAACUGCACCAAAGUAACACUGAACAGCCACUAAAAUAACACCAAAACUGCACCAAAAUAGCACUGAAAUGGCACUGAAAUAACACCAAAACUGCACCAAAAUGGCACUGAGAGCUGCGCCAAAACAGAACCAAAACGGCACCGAAACUGAGCCAGAAAAGUACCAAAAUAGCACCAAAAUGGCACCAAAAUGGCACCAAAAUAACACUGAACUGCCACUGAAAUAACACCAAAACUGCGCCAGAAAAGCACCAAAAUAGCACCAAAAUGGCACCAAAAUAGCACCAAAAUGGCACUGAAAUGGCACUGAAAUAACACCAAAACUGCACCAAAAUGGCGCUGAGAGCUGCGCCAAAACAGAACCAAAAUGGCACCGAAACUGAGCCAGAAAAGUACCAAAAUAGCACCAAAAUGGCACCAAAACUGCACCAAAAUAACACUGAACUGCCACUGAAAUAACACCAAAACUGCGCCAGAAAAGCACCAAAAGAGCACCAAAAUGGCACCAAAACUGCACCAAAGUAACACUGAACAGCCACUAAAAUAACACCAAAACUGCACCAAAAUAGCACUGAAAUGGCACUGAAAUAACACCAAAACUGCACCAAAAUGGCACUGAGAGCUGCGCCAAAACAGAACCAAAACGGCACCGAAACUGAGCCAGAAAACACCAAAAUAGCACCAAAAUGGCACCAAAACUGCACCAAAGUAACACUGAAAUGGCACUGAAAUAACACCAAAACUGCACCAAAAUGGCGCUGAGAGCUGCGCCAAAACAGAACCAAAAUGGCACCGAAACUGAGCCAGAAAAGCACCACCAAAAUAGCACCAAAAUGGCACCAAAACUGCACCAAAAUGGCACUGAAAUGGCACUGAAAUAACACCAAAACUGCACCAGAAAAGCACCAAAAGAGCACCAAAAUGGCACCAAAACUGCACCAAAGUAACACUGAACAGCCACUGAAAUAACACCAAAACUGCGCCAGAAAAGCACCAAAAUAGCACCAAAAUGGCACCAAAAUAGCAUCAAAAUGGCACCAAAACUGCACCAAAAUAACAGUGAACUGCCACUGAAAUAACACCAAAAUAGCACCAAAAUGGCACUGAAAUGGCACUGAAAUAACACCAAAACUGCACCAAAAUGGCGCUGAGAGCUGCGCCAAAACAGAACCAAAAUGGCACCGAAACUGAGCCAGAAAAGCACCAAAAUAGCACCAAAAUGGCACCAAAACUGCACCAAAAUGGCACUGAAAUGGCACUGAAAUAACACCAAAACUGCGCCAGAAAAGCACCAAAAUAGCACCAAAAUGGCACCAAAAUAGCACUGAAAUGGCACUGAAAUGGCACUGAAAUAACACCAAAACAGAACCAAAAUGGCACCGAAACUGAGCCAGAAAAGUACCAAAAUAGCACCAAAAUGGCACCAAAACUGCACCAAAGUAACACUGAACUGCCACUGAAGUAACACCAAAACUGAGCCAGAAAAGUACCAAAAUAGCACCAAAAUGGCACCAAAAUAGCACCAAAAUGGCACUGAAAUGGCACUGAAAUGGCACUGAAAUAACACCAAAACUGCACCAAAAUGGCGCUGAGAGCUGCGCCAAAACAGAACCAAAAUGGCACUGAAACUGAGCCAGAAAAGCACCAAAAUGGCACCAAAACCACAACAAAAUCAAUGGCACCAAAACUGCACCAAAAUGGCACCGAAGCUGCGCCACAACAGAACCAAAAUGGCACCAAAAUAGCACCAAAAUGGCCCCAAAAUGACACCAAAAUGGCCCCAAAACGACACCAAAAUGACAGCAGUGAAAUGGCACUGAAAUAACUGCACCAAAAUGGCACCAAAACUGGGCCAGAACUGAACCAAAAUAGCACCAAAACGACACCAAAUAGCACUGAAACUGUCAGAACAGAACCAAAAUGGCACCAAACUGGCACCAAAAUGUCGGAGCAGAACCCAAAUAGCACCAAAAUGACACCAAAAUG